GAUGAACGCUGGCGAGAUGCUUUACACAUGCAAGUCGUACGAGAGUUUUAAACUCAAGUGGCGGACGGGUGAGUAACACGUAAGAAUUUGCCUCUAGGAGGGGGACAACAGACAGAAAUGACUGCUAAUACCCCAUAUGCUUUCGAGUGAAAUGGAUUUUUUCGCCUAGAGAGAAGCUUGCGGCUGAUUAGCUUGUUGGUAAGGUAAUGGCUUACCAAGGCGACGAUCAGUAUCUGGUUUGAGAGGAUGAUCAGACACACUGGAACUGAGACACGGUCCAGACUCCUACGGGAGGCAGCAGUGGGGAAUUUUCCGCAAUGGGCGAAAGCCUGACGGAGCAAUCUCGCGUGAGGGAUGACUGCCUAUGGGUUGUAAACCUCUUUUUUCAGGGAGGAAUAAAUGACGUGUACCUGAAGAAUAAGCAUCGGCUAACUCCGUGCCAGCCGCCGCCGUAACA
rnacentral:rRNA from 1 species